rnacentral:tRNA from 3 species
GGUCCCGUAGCUCAGCAGGAUAGAGCGGCAGUUUCCUAAACUGUAGGCCACUGGUUCGAAUCCAGUCGGGAUCACCA